rnacentral:rRNA from 1 species
CCUACGGGGGGCAGCAGUGAGGAAUAUUGGUCAAUGGACGAGAGUCUGAACCAGCCAAGUAGCGUGAAGGAUGACUGCCCUAUGGGUUGUAAACUUCUUUUAUAUGGGAAUAAAAUGUUCCACGUGUGGGAUUUUGUAUGUACCAUAUGAAUAAGGAUCGGCUAACUCCGUGCCAGCAGCCGCGGUAAUACGGAGGAUCCGAGCGUUAUCCGGAUUUAUUGGGUUUAAAGGGUGCGUAGGUGGAUUGUUAAGUAAGUUGUGAAAGUUUGCGGCUCAACCGUAAAAUUGCAGUUGAAACUGGCAGUCUUGAGUACAGUAGAGGUGGGCGGAAUUCGUGGUGUAGCGGUGAAAUGCUUAGAUAUCACGAAGAACACCGAUUGCGAAGGCAGUUCACUGAACUGCAACUGACACUGAGGCUCGAAAGUGUGGGUAUCAAACAGGAUUAGAUACCCGGGUAGUC